GAGGAAAGAGGGAGGCGUGCCUAAUACAUGCAAGUCGAGCGAACAGACGAGGAGCUUGCUCCUCUGACGUUAGCGGCGGACGGGUGAGUAACACGUGGAUAACCGACCUAUAAGACUGGGAUAACUUCGGGAAACCGGAGCUAAUACCGGAUAAUAUAUUGAACCGCAUGGUUCAAUAGUGAAAGACGGUUUUGCUGUCACUUAUAGAUGGAUCCGCGCCGCAUUAGCUAGUUGGUAAGGUAACGGCUUACCAAGGCAACGAUGCGUAGCCGACCUGAGAGGGUGAUCGGCCACACUGGAACUGAGACACGGUCCAGACUCCUACGGGAGGCAGCAGUAGGGAAUCUUCCGCAAUGGGCGAAAGCCUGACGGAGCAACGCCGCGUGAGUGAUGAAGGUCUUCGGAUCGUAAAACUCUGUUAUUAGGGAAGAACAAAUGUGUAAGUAACUAUGCACGUCUUGACGGUACCUAAUCAGAAAGCCACGGCUAACUACGUG
rnacentral:rRNA from 1 species